AGAGCGAACGCUGGCGGCAGGCCUAAUACAUGCAAGUCGAACGGAUCCUUCGGGAUUAGUGGCGGACGGGUGAGUAACACGUGGGAACGUGCCCUUUGGUUCGGAACAACUCAGGGAAACUUGAGCUAAUACCGGAUGUGCCCUUCGGGGAAAGAUUUAUCGCCAUUGGAGCGGCCCGCGUCUGAUUAGCUAGUUGGUGGGGUAAAGGCCCACCAAGGCGACGAUCAGUAGCUGGUCUGAGAGGAUGAUCAGCCACACUGGGACUGAGACACGGCCCAGACUCCUACGGGAGGCAGCAGUAGGGAAUCUUGCGCAAUGGGCGAAAGCCUGACGCAGCCAUGCCGCGUGAAUGAUGAAGGUCUUAGGAUUGUAAAAUUCUUUCAGCGGGGACGAUAAUGACGGUACCCGCAGAAGAAGCCCCGGCUAACUUCGUGCCAGCAGCCGC
rnacentral:rRNA from 1 species